CUCCAAAGAUCCUUGGCAAGCAACCCUCUUUGACUUAGCCUCUAAGGCUAUUUUCGAAUUUCUUUCACUGACAGUGGGCCCCACACCUCCCUGGGACCCACAUGACAGCCUCCCACUUUCCCCUCACAGCAUCCACCGUCCCCCAUGCCCAAUGGAUGCCCAAGGAACACAAUGAGUGCACCAGCCACCUCUCUCUCUCACUCCCCCACUCCACUCUUCCUUAUUUCGCAAGCCAAAGCACCAGAAACAACAGCACACCCCCCACAUUGUGUUCCAAGUCCAAGAAAACACACCCCACGCACAGAAUGCCCAAAGCUCGGCCAUCUUCCCCGGCUCCGGCAACUUAGCCGUCGUCGCUGUGCAUCCCCGGACCAAUCUGUCGAGCACGUGGUGGGCGUCACCGUCCUCGCCGCUGGCCACUCGAACCGCCGACGCUGCUCCGGCCGCCGUUCCUCACCACCGAAGCAACACCAAGCCAAUGUACUUCGUCUGCAAGCUCGCCUUGACCCCAUCAAGGUUCGACUGAAGCCGAUCGAACCGACGCACUCUGCACCACCGGAACAUCGCCGCCCCCCCCCUUUUCGGCCAUCUGCCGCCGCCGGCGAAUCCUCCCGCUCCGGUGAGUUUCCGCCGGAUUUCUCGCGCAUGCACCCUCUAUGGCUCAUCCCUAACAGCCCCGUACUCUCGAAGUUGUAGUUCGCGCCUUGAGUCGACCCGGCGACGUCGACGACGG
rnacentral:lncRNA from 1 species